rnacentral:lncRNA from 1 species
GAGAGGAGCUGUUUGAUUUUCUAGAGAACAGUGAAGGUACUGUUCAUUUACUAGAUAGAUCAAACUGUGCGAUCAAAGAUAUUAGGAUGGUCAGCUUGCAAACUCAUUAUGGAGUAGUGAAAAAAGUGGACAAGAUCUGAUACAUACCCAAUUUCAAGAGAAAUCUAAUUUUGCUGAGCAGACUGGAUUCAAAUAGCUACAGAUGG